UCUACAGCCUGCUUUGAAUGGAGAGCUGCACUCUGAAGGGUUGGCUUCCCACAAGCUGCGGAAAGAAUAGAGCUAAUUCAUCAACUACGGCAGGAGUUCUUACUUCCUGGGCAGGGAAUUGAUCAGUUUCAGGUUUCAGUGACAUACACAGAUACAAGGUGCUGAUACCAGUCCCAUCAGCUGUGCCUAGAGGUCUUAAACUCCCAUCCUCCUUGAUGUAUUCAUCUGCGCCCUGUCCCCAUGACAGAUUCAGAUUCUGGAAGCUGGAGUUUCCAACUUUGUGAAGAGCGGUAACUGACGAGUUUCCCAAUAACCUCUACUACACACAAUCUUUCCUGGACAUGGCUUAUUCUAAUGAUAUCAGCCCCUU